rnacentral:rRNA from 1 species
CCUACGGGUGGCAGCAGUGAGGAAUAUUGGUCAAUGGGCGAGAGCCUGAACCAGCCAAGUCGCGUGAAGGAUGACGGCCCUACGGGUUGUAAACUUCUUUUGUCAGGGAGCAAUUGGGUCCACGCGUGGGCUUAGCGAGAGUACCUGAAGAAAAAGCAUCGGCUAACUCCGUGCCAGCAGCCGCGGUAAUACGGAGGAUGCGAGCGUUAUCCGGAUUUAUUGGGUUUAAAGGGAGCGUAGGCGGGUUGUUAAGUCAGUUGUGAAAGUUUGCGGCUCAACCGUAAAAUUGCAGUUGAUACUGGCAUCCUUGAGUACAGUAGAGGUAGGCGGAAUUCGUGGUGUAGCGGUGAAAUGCUUAGAUAUCACGAAGAACUCCGAUUGCGAAGGCAGCCUGCUGGACUGUAACUGACGCUGAUGCUCGAAAGUGUGGGUAUCAAACAGGAUUAGAUACCCUAGUAGUC